CCUACGGGUGGCUGCAGUGGGGAAUAUUGGACAAUGGGGGCAACCCUGAUCCAGCCAUGCCGCGGGUGUGAAGAAGGCCCUCGGGUUGUAAAGCACUUUCAGUGAGGAAGAACGCCUGGUGGUUAAUACCCAUCAGGAAAGACAUCACUCACAGAAGAAGCACCAGCUAACUCCGUGCCAGCAGCCGCGGUAAUACGGAGGGUGCGAGCGUUAAUCGGAAUUACUGGGCGUAAAGCGCGCGUAGGUGGCUUGAUAAGCCGGUUGUGAAAGCCCCGGGCUCAACCUGGGAACGGCAUCCGGAACUGUCAAGCUAGAGUGCAGGAGAGGAAGGUAGAAUUCCCGGUGUAGCGGUGAAAUGCGUAGAGAUCGGGAGGAAUACCAGUGGCGAAGGCGGCCUUCUGGACUGACACUGACACUGAGGUGCGAAAGCGUGGGUAGCAAACAGGAUUAGAUACCCCAGUAGUC
rnacentral:rRNA from 1 species